rnacentral:rRNA from 1 species
GGGAAUAUUGCGCAAUGGGCGAAAGCCUGACGCAGCGACGCCUCGUGAGGGAUGAAGGUCUUCGGAUCGUAAACCUCUGUCAAGAGGGAAGAAACCCUUGGAUUCGAAUAGGGUCCUUGGCUGACGGUACCUCAAAAGGAAGCACCGGCUAACUCCGUGCCAGCAGCCGCGGUAAUACGGAGGGUGCAAGCGUUAAUCGGAAUCACUGGGCGUAAAGCGCUCGUAGGCGGUUUGGUCAGUCAGAUGUGAAAGCCCUCGGCUUAACCGGGGAACUGCAUUUGAUACUGCCAGACUUGAGUGUCGGAGAGGGUGGCGGAAUUCCGGGUGUAGGAGUGAAAUCCGUAGAUAUCCGGAGGAACACCAGUGGCGAAGGCGGCCACCUGGACGACNAACUGACGCUGAGGNAGCGNAAAGCGUGGGGNAGCNAAACNAGGAUUAGAUACCCUGGUUAGUCCCACGCGGUUAAACGNAUGGAAUGCUGGGUGUCGGGGGUUUACCCUUCGGUGCCCGCCAGUUAACGCGUU